AGCGGGUGGCGUGCUCUCGAAUUCUUAGGAUUAGACGAGGAUAAAGCCGCCGUAGAAUUCGAUAGAUUGAAGGUUGAUUUGAUCAUCACUGAUUAUUGUAUGCCUGGAAUGACAGGUUACGAGCUUUUGAAAAAGAUUAAGGAAUCGACAAGUUUUAAGGAAGUUCCGGUUGUAAUUAUGUCGUCGGAGAACGUACUCACUCGAAUCGAC